ensembl:snRNA U6 U6 spliceosomal RNA
AUGCUCACUUUGGCAGCAUAUAUACUAAAAACUGGAACAAUACAAAGAUUAGCAUGGCCCCUGGGCAAAGAUGGCAUGCAAAUUCAUGAAGCAUUCCAUAUUUUU